rnacentral:tRNA from 1 species
UCGGGCUCAUAACCCGAAGGUCGGAGGUUCGAGUCCUUCUCCCGCUACCA